rnacentral:lncRNA from 1 species
UCCUAGUGGCAAUAGUCUCUCUCACAUUGCCUUCAGAAACUUCAGCUAACUACCCUUACACCUCUCCACCACCACCGGCCUCUCCUCCCUACCAUUACAAGUCACCACCGCCUCCUUCUCCUUCUCCUCCAGUGCACUACUCACCACCUAAGCAUCCCUACCACCCUAAGUCACCACCACCUCCUGUGUACGCACCACCUAAGCAUCCCUACCACCCUAAGUCACCACCACCUCCUGUGUACCCACCACCUAAGCAUCCCUACCACCCCAAGUCACCACCACCAUCACCAAAGCCUUACCACUACAAAUCCCCACCACCACCUCCUGCUCCAGUGCACUCACCACCCCCACCUAAGGAGCCAUACCACUACAAGUCCCCACCACCACCACCCAAGAAGCCCUACCACUACAAAUCUCCCCCACCACCUCCUCCUCCAGUUCACUCACCACCACCACCCAAGGAGCCUUACCACUACAAAUCUCCACCACCACCACCCAAGAAACCUUACUAUUACAAGUCUCCUCCACCACCACCAAAGAAGCCUUACCACUACAUGUCUCCUCCCCCACCGGUGUACUCACCACCUCCACCAGUGCACUCACACCCACCACCAAAAAAGCCUUACCAUUACAAAUCUCCUCCCCCGCCAGAAUAUUCACCAGCUCCACCAGUGCACUCAACCCCACCACCAAAGAAGCCCUACCAUUACAAAUCCCCACCACCACCACCACCACACAAGAAGCCUUAUUACCCUGUUCACUCACCACCUCCACCUAAGAAGCCUUACCACUACAAAUCCCCACCACCACCUUCUCCUACUCCUCCUAAAUACUCACCACCUAAGCACCCCUACCACUACAAGUCUCCACCACCACCACCAAAGAAGCCUUACCAUUACAAGUCCCCACCACCUCCUUCUCCUACUCCCCCUAAAUACUCACCACCUAAGCACCCCUACCACUACAAGUCACCACCACCACCACCCCAAGAAGCCUUACCACUACAAGUCUCCACCACCACCACCUCCUCCAGUUCCCACACCAUCUCCACCCAAGAAACCUUACCACUACAAGUCUCCCCCACCACCCCCUCCAGUCUACAAGUCUCCUCCACCACCAGUUUACUCACCACCACCACCACCUAAGAAACCUUACAAGCCACCAACUCCUCCAGCAGUUCACCCACCACACGGUUACAUCUAUUCCUCACCCCCACCUCCUCACCACUACUAGAUAUUGAAAGUUUAAUUGCAUCAAGCUGGUAAGCUUCUCCAUUCUAUGCUAUUAUUCAUUAAUUAGUUAGUACUACUGUUGUCAAUUUGGAAAUCACCAUACAACCAAAUGCACACUCUGACGAAAUAACAUAUAAAUUCUAAUUGAAUAGUCUUUAUUUCCAUUUUUGGCUAAUAAUCCUUAUUAGCAUAUGGAUAAUGUAUUUCCAACAUAUCGUUAUUAACUUAUUACUCAAUUAAUAUUUCUUUUUCUUUAAAUUCAGUAGCCGUGUGUAACAAAUAGACCAAUGGCAGAGACCCAACAAAUAACAAUAAUAUGUCUUUGCAGGUAAGGGAAGAAGAAAGGUCAGAAUAAAGAGGGGCUGUUGAAGUCGAACAGCGCGCCUUAUUACCACACAAAGAAGAAGAGAGAGAAAAAAACGAGUCUCCACGCAGCUGCUGAUGUGACGUGUUUUAUGUAUGCGAUAUUCGAUAGAGGUUCAUAUUUUCCUUGGAAUAUUAGACAGUUGUAGGGCACUCAUGUUCCAUGUAUUUUAUUUCCUGUUUCUCAAAAGAGAUGGUAUAUGUAUGUUGUUUGUUUCAACCUUCUAAUGGAGAGGUGAUCAUCAUAAUAAUAAAAUAAAUACAUUCCCCAAAUUUUACUUAAUUUCUCAUAUAUCUGAUAUGUUUUACUCUCUUAAUUAAAGUUUCCUAAUAAUGUUAUAAAAACCACGUAUAUCACAUUGGUGUACCAUUUAUUCUCACAAGUAAUGUCACGUCAAUUAAUGAGUUUAUCUCAUUGAAUAGUAAUUGACUUGCUUACAUUAUAUGGUAAUAAUGUGGUGUAAAUAUGUCGCAUCGUCCUUAACAUCACUCUAAAUUUCUUGGUAAUAAUAUAUGCGAGCAGUGUUAACAAAUCAAAGGAUGAGAAAGAAGAAAAACUAUUUGCAAAUUCUUAUUCUUAAUAUUUCAUAAACACAAAAUAAAGAAGACUAUGAAUUGUUCAAAUGCAUACUAAGUGAUCUAUUUUGGCAAAUCAUCUUAGUAUUGUAUUAUUUUCUUCAAUUAAGUGAUCUAUUUUUUUUCAAUUUGUUUUCCAUAUUUCAUGGCUUAAAUUUGUGAUUACUUUUUCAACAUAAAUGUCAAAUACUUUUUCUAAAAGUUAAUGUUGUCUAUUAUUUAUCCGUUGCUGGGAAAAAAAGUUAAAGUGGUAAUCUUAUUGAUAAAACUUAGUUCACUACACUAUAUAUACAAUUGUCUUCCGGUAGACCAUCAUGGAUAAAAAAUCAAAAGGAUUAUCGAAACCCCAAAAAAUUCUCACUAGUAGAAAGAUUGUUCAAAUUCUACAAUGAACCACAAGAAGUCUAACUCACUUGGUCAUUGCUGAUUGACUAUCAUUACUAGGUUAAAGCAACAUUUUAAGUUUUAACCUAAAUAGGAUCUCAACAAGCUAGGGUUUGAGAUUAGUGUUUUAGGUGACGACAGAGCUCUUUCCUUUCUUUAUGUUAUCCAAACUCUUUUUCUUUUUUCAUUUUUAUCAAGAAACUGUAGGUCUCAAUCAAAUUUAUGGAUUAUGGAUUUUAGUUAUGUAUUCUUAGUGUGGAAAUUUGACUAUAAAAUACGUUGACACUUGUCCUUUAAACUAAUGCAACCGAACAAACUUGUAGUUAACAAUUUUAUUAAGAGAGAUUAUAUUCACACACUUCAAAUUACUUAUGUCACACCUUUCUAAUUUUUUAAUAUUUUCUACACACCACUAACACUUGAAAGAAAAAAUAUUAAAAAAAUUAAAAGAGUGUGGGGCAAGUAAUUUGGGGUGUGUGAAUAUAAUCUCUCUUUCAUUAAAUCAUAACAUGGUGGAGUGAGUAAGUGAUGAGGAAAGACAAUUACGUCGCUCAUAUGCAAAUGAGUGGACAAACCUUCCAAUGGAUGCAACGGUGGUCAUGAAUUAUGAUUGUGUGUAGGGUUUCGAGUUACCGACGUUGACUGUCAUGCAAAUUGAGUACGUAGCCACUUACACUUAAUGGCAGAGGUCGAUGAUUUGCGCUACGGAAAAUGGUUUGAUUUGCUUAUACCAAUUACCAAACAAAGCAAAUAUAUUCGUCCUUUUGGUUUGGUUGUCAACUGUCAAGUAUGCGUUAGAAUUUUUUAAUUUGGGUUAAAUAAAAUAAAAAAACAAUACUCAAAACUUUUUGGGGAUGAGAUCUGAGAAAUUUAAUUUUUUCCCUUCAUAUAUUAGGGAUGAAAGUUGACUUAAUCACACACAAUGGAUCAUACCAACAAUAAUUUAGUAUCGAAUUCAUCAUUCAUGAAAAUCAUAUUUGAGCCUAAAUAAAAAUAAGCAUGUUAUGGGGUCAAUCUACUUUUAUUUACAGAAAGUUGCACGACUCAGGCCCACCAACUUCAAAGCCUAAUUCAAGAUCAUAUCACAAAGCUUGGGCGACCUUUUUGUCCCCCUCCUAGCUAUUCGAGGGCUUGGGUAGAUCUCUCUAUGAAGUGCGUCCACCACGCAGAUGACCAGACCCGGGAAUAUCUCGCCUCCUUAAAUGUUGAUGUACGCAUCAUCUAACAUGCUAAUGUCACCAUUGCAAUUAUGAAAACGGCCAUGAAAUACAGUUUAAGGCCACCAACCAGAAAUUAUAGUCAAUGUCAACUCACCGAUCUACCCAUGCUCCAUCUUAGCCAUGAGAUCGAGGUUGCUCUUGCUUCAUUGCCUAUAAAUAGAGUGGGAAACCUUCAAACUUAGGACCUUCGUCUGAUCCAAUCUCUACAAUUAUAUAAAACCUCGAUUGAUUCUUCAAUCAACCCAACUUCUUUCAAAGUACAAUCCAAUUGCUCUUCAACUACAAUCACAAAGCCUUCGUUAAAAGCAAACAUUGCCUAUGUCCCUGAGAUCUUAAACUUUUACAGCUUUUCCAACCCGUGGUAUGAUUCGGUUGAUGUGUCAAUCCAACCACCCUGAUUUCCUCUUAGAGGCACAUGUUUUGGACUAAGUCCAAUUUGAUACCAGAGACCUCAGUGGACUCCUCUAGCAUUAUCUAUCCCUUCAUGGCCUAAAUCUUGUAAGAGUUUUUACAGCUUUCUUUACAAUUUUACUCAAUUUUCAUUUCAAGUCAUGUAGCUCGGCCCAUCGGCCAAGAUUUUACUUUUAUAUAAUGCUUGUAAUGUUGACUUCAUUAUGAAAUAAUUACAUUUUGUUCAUCACAUUAUUUUCCAUUUUCCUUUUUCAUGUUUUAGGCAAAAACACAAAAAAGUUACAUUGAAUUUUAAGUCCUCAUUCACUCAAGGCAUAGAAAAAAACUUAAACGAACUAGCGUCUCAUUCAAUGCACAACAAUUGGUUAAGAAGUCAGAUCUUUGCGCAACUUUCACACACAUCCAAAUACAAAGAUUGUCUGUUGACAGCCUCCAACAAUAGCACACCCAUUCUCUCAUUUUCUCGAGCCACCUCGUGACAUUGAUAUAAAAAAUAACACUCGGGGAAAAUAAAAGUUACAGUAGUAGUGAAAGAAAUUUAGUUGUUGUAAUAACUGAAUUUUGAAGGGCAUAUUAAGUAAUAAAAAUUAUGAGCAGAUAGUAUUUGCCCCAUUUGGCCUAGUGUCGACCAAAAAUGUACCUUCACCUAGAAAAGGAUUGUAGAAAGUGAAGUUAGUUCAAUAAUUGUCCUCUUUUUUGUUUUCUUUUUCGAUAUUUUAAGUGCUAUAUUGAGACUUUGGGGGCUUUUUUUUCCCAAAGCUCUGGCCUAUUCCGCGAAGAACUGAGAUUGAAUGGAGACUUUAUCAUUCUCACUAAUAUUAUAAGAAAAAUUGCACAAUACCAUUGUAUUAUUAAUUUGAGACAAUGGUAUUAAUUAUAGACAUUACAAUAGUGUCAAGAAUAAUGCAAAUAACUCAUUCUCCUUUGUUUAUUAGGUCGAAUUUCACUAGCUACAAAUAAGUUUAGCGGGGUGUAAGGAUGGAGACUUUAUCAUUCUCACUUAUAAAUCAUCAUAUAUUUAGGUGUGGGGUAAGGGGUUGGGGUAGAUUAGGUCCCAGGUUCGAGGCCUGGUGGGGUGGGGUGGGGUUGAAAAAAAAAAUCAUAUAUUUAGGUGUGGGUUUGGAAGGUAGACUUGAUUCCGCGGUGUUUUGAGGAGGAGGAGGGCAAUCUUAUUCUUGGUUUACCAAUAAGUUUAGCAGGGUGUAAGGAUAGAGUCAUAUGGCACUAUUCAAGAAAAGUUGCAAAACCACUAAAACUUUAUUUUAAGAGUCAAAUCUACUAAAUUCUUCUCCAAGAGACUUGAUAAAGGACUCUAUAUAAUAGCAAGUUGCUCUUUAAAUUUAUAAGUAAUGCCUAAUGGGGCUUUUAAGAAAAUAUUAAUAUUUAAAAAAAAAGUAUUAAUUUUUGUUUUAGACAUUGUAUAAGGAAAAUGAUAAGCAUACAUCCUUUUUAGCCUCGAUCAACACUUAUAUUUAAUCUUGUUCAUUAUUUUUGUUUGAUUUAUACAAUGCGAUGGUCAAAAAAAUAAAUAAAAAAUAUGUUUGAGAAGUUAAAAAUGAUGUGUGAAAAUCACCUGCCAAUAAACAAAUCUAUUAUUAAAACUAAUACAAACUUUAAAACUAAAACUCAUGAUCAAUUAAGAAACGCUCAAGUCAAAUUCAUAAUAGCCAUAAAACAUAAAACACCUAAAUUUACUAUGCCAAUUCAAUCAACAAUCGUAUUAUAAAUAUGUUAAAUCCUUACAUGAAUGGAAUUGUUAGCCCAUCAAUCCAAGUAAUUGAAUGAUCUUUGGAGAUUUACUUAAGAGCAGUAUUAAUAUGAAUUAUGAACUUAUGAGAGAGAAAUAAUCUAUUAUUCUUUUCUCUAUUAGGCUAUAUUAUAUUUAUUUUGUUAUUGAAGAAAUUAUAUAUUGUAUAAUAUUUCCAUGGGGUGCAAAAACAUCGGGGCGCCUUUUUUUAGUUGGGGACCUUGUGCAAUGUCUUAUAUUCCUCCCCUUCAAUCCGGCACUGACAGGAAGGGAGAGAACGAUUUAAAAAAUGAACGGGUUGAAUUUGAAUUGAUAAUAAUUAGUAAAUUAUUUAAACUUUGUUAAAUAGAAAAUAUUGUUGAAAAUGAAAAGUUAAACUGAGUAAUUAAAAUAGUUUUUUUGACACUUUUCACUUGCUUGUUUAACAAAAAUUUAGAGCUUGUCUUUGAGAUACUCUUACUCCUUUAUUUAAAGGACUCGGCUUUUCUAUUAUAGCUGUCGUAUUCAAUAUUGUUGCAAUUAAUGAACUUAAAUCAUUUCGUUAUGACCAAAUUAAGAUAAUCAUGGACAUGUAGAUUAGGUAGCUAAUUCUGAUUUUGACUCGAUCACAUCAAGGUUAUCGUAAUUAAUGUCGGUUAAUUUAAUAUGCGUCUCUGAUCUGAUUACAUUACCAUGGUACGUAAACAUGUGUAUCCAUCUGCAAGACUCAAGAUUUAUAAUUUUGUUUUGUUUACUGUUUUUACGAAGAUAUUUAUGAUUUGAUUUUAUAAUAAAUUUUUUUUUAAAAAAAAAAUCAGAGCAAAACUGCAUCAUGGCCAACAAUCCAGCCAGAUUCAGUUCAACUAUAAUUUUGGCCAAUUUUUCAAAGCUGAUGGAUGUUAGUAGAUUUGUGUGGGGAACACUGAAAAGGCUAGAUUAUGAAAUACCAGAAAAGUAUUGACAUUUCAAUUGCUUAAACCAACCAUGAUGAAGAGUUCUAUGAAUUAUUUUUCAAAAUUUGAUUAAAUUGUGUCAUCCAGAUUAACGAACAUUGUUUCAUUGAAAUUAGUUCAUCAAGAUUGCGUAACUGGGAUAGCUUUCACACUGUAUUAACAUACAAAGAGGCUCUACUUCGUUAGAGUGUUCAAACUGUACACGUAAUUUGACUGCCGUACACAUUUUUCUUAUAUCUCUCCAAUCAACUUUAUUUUUCCUUUUGAAUAAAUUAAAGAUAAAGAAAGAAAACCAUUUUGCCUUAAAUGGCAAGAGAUUGAUGAAAAUCUACUCUAAAGAAGGGACAGGAUAUAUAUAAAUUAAAAUUCAUCAUGUACAAAGUAAGCGUAGGACAUUUUCAUCAUUUUACUUUGUCGUGCCCAUAAUUCUUUGCUCUAUAUAUUUUAUCUUUGUUGGUGGUCGAUGCUUUGGUUGGCUGUCAAUUGCGACGGACUGUCGUAAAAAUUGUCGGCAACCAACCAUGUGUUCUUGCAUGCCCGAUGUUCUCGCCACCUCACGUGGAAAUUUCCAAUGGAAUGGAGGGCCAAAUUUCAGUUUUUAUAUCAAUUUGUUUAUGUUAAAAUUUUCUUGUAAUAUAAGUCAAUGGUUGAAUUUGCAGUAGAAACAAACAAAAUAUGUGGACGAAUUUGAUAAAGUACAAGAAAAAAAAAACUGCAACUUAAGUAGAUGACGUGAUUCUUCACCCGGACAACAAGGAAGAAGACAUGAAAUCGGGAACACUGGAUGACGAAGUACACAAAUUAAACUUAUCUAAUCCAUUUUAAUAAAUUGUUACAGGGUGGCCAGUGGUCGGGAAUAAAUCACAGACUCGCAUUUCAGAUACCUCACGAACUUGAUUUUUGUUACUAACAAAUCACAUGAAGGUGACCAAGAGAAGGUUGAAAUGUCAUUGUGAGACGUCUUUCUUACCCUCGAAAGAUGAACUACCGUAAUGAAGCCACCAACUCAUCUUUUUAAAGGAAAGAAAAUCUAAGCCGUCCUAAUACAUGUUGUCACUCAUGGGAAUUAGAGAAGAAAUAUUCGUUAGCCACUUACAGUUGGAUGCUUAUUAUAUUAACUAGUUACAAAGUCAAAGGUUUUUCAUUGAAUGGAAUCAUAAGAUGUAAACAUCUAGGAUUAAUAUUUGGAAAAUAAUUAAACUCAAUCCCACCGCGUAGUUCUGUAACAAGUUUAUAUGUCUAAUAGAGUUUAUAGAUCUAAUAGUUAGUUAAGAGUAUUCAUUCUUACUCUUGAAGUUUUUUUGUUGACACUCUCUCUUUUAACCAUUUCUUGUAAUCAUUACAAGAAUUUGGAUUCUUUUAAUCCUAGGAGUGCAAUACUAAUUCUUAAUCUUUGUGUUAACCAUAAUAUCAUGACACAUAUCACCAAGUAUGAUCAGCAACUAGGAGAACGAGAGAAGAUGCGUGACUUAAGAAAAUUGAUGUGAUUUUGGAUUUUUUUUUACUUUAUGCACGCCCGCUCUUUAAAAAAAAAGAAAAAAGAUAUGUGAAAGGUGAAAAACAGUUGUUUCCGACAAACAUAAUUCACUUUCUAUAUGUGUACUUUGUAUUUUUUUUCAUCAAGUAAGGAAAUGGUGAAAAGAAAAAUGUACAUUAAUCGUAUCAUAUGAUAUAUUGUUCUUCUCAAGACAACUAAGAAGCUAAACUUAAUGUCAGAGAUUAAGACGUUUUGUUGGCUUGUCAUUCAAGGAAAGCUUAAUACAUAUAAUAUAGAGUUGGGAAGGUUAAUUUGUCCGUAUCUUGUGUAAAACAUGAUCUGGAUUUCAAACCCCCUAGACUUUUUGUUGUCCUACUCACGCAGCCCAUUCCCAAGUUCCAACCCUCCCAACAACCCUAUCCAGGAAGGCCAGCGCAGAUGUUAAGGCUGUGACCAGGGUUGUAAUACCAUCUCCAAUGGAUAAGUCAAAUCAUAAGUGGAAUGUCGCAUAAUUAAAUUUAAAAGUAAAAAAGAAGUUCCAACCGAUAGUUUUUCCGGAUCCUGAAAGAGUGGAUAACCGUGACUUAUCACCACUUGUCUUAUUUUUCGAAGAAAAAAAAAUGUCAAUCCUAUGUGAAUUAACAUGAGUUUUUGGUAUCAAAAUUGACAUGAAAAAUGUGUUGGCAAUUAAUUCUUUAGUGAUUUUAUUGUGCGGGUUUUAUUAAUGGACCAAUUCUAAAGCUUAAAAAUUAUUUUAAUUGAUUUCUUUUUCAUAAUGAACCUACGGAUAUUAAUUAUAAAUUUGACAUUACCACAUCAAUCGUUAAAAUUAACAUUUGACAUUCAUUUUUUGACUUUUCCAUUGAAGAUGUUCCAAUUAGCUUCAAAUGCCUUCGAGUUGAACUCAUGUUUGGGUCGUUUUAGGCAUGUUCAAUCUCUACUUGCAAGUAAAAGGAGUCGGGCACGAACAUAAUAUUCAGUUCGAUACAAAGAUGAGAUAGAAUUUUAGUAUGAUCAAAAGCUCGUAAAACUCUUAACAUCCCAUAUCAUUUUAUAUUGGACAUGCAAUCAUUUGAAAGUAUAGAGCUAUGCUUAAGCACAAAUUAUAUCAUUUGAACCAAGCACCUGGUACUUGGCGCGACUCAUCAACGCAGCUCUUGCAUUUUGUCCUUUGAUUUCUUCAAUAUAAAACCAUAAAUAAAUAGAAAUGUGCAAGAUAAGACGAGUCUGAUAAGAUUUCAAUAGAAGUGUUCCAUACGAACACUGUGCCAAGCACUUUUCAGCUGUUGGAUCGACGGAAUUUUACCACUGCUAGGCUAACAAUAUAAUUUCCGUUCGAUCUCUUUCAUAAACGAAACACUAAAACAUGAAUCGAUUUAUCAAUCACCCGAUUAACAUACUCCAAGAAACAGGAAAACAAUCAGUCACAAAUUACUCGCAAAUCGCAAUUAAAACGAAAGAAAUUGAGAAAUCCGGACUAGGCUACAAGCACGUCAAGUCAAGAUCGGCAAAACAUUUAAUAAAACACCAAAUCUGUCAUAUUUUCUGACCUUCCAAAUAUUCAAGUCCAUAACAGAAUGAACAAGCUGAAAACAGCAGAUGAAAUAUGCACAAAGGGAUACACCAAACGUACCUCCAUCGCGAGAAAGAUACACUGCGUUUUGUGAUCGCAUCUACACCAAGCGCUUCGUCCGACAAAACCAUCACUACACAUAUAGGUAUAGAAAAUAUCUAGCAUAGCGUCUUCAUCUCAUUUCUCAAACAGACAAUAUUAUACAAUGACAUUCAACUGGGUGUUUGCUUCGAUGAGUUCUACAACAGACAGGAAAUCAGAUCAUCAAGCACUAAUCACUAAUGACAUCGUCUCUUGAGCAAUCUCUCUAAUUUUCUCUUUCCUUGAGUGUACAGUAUAACCUCUAUAUUCAUAUGAGAAACAAACGAAAAAAACAAAGCCUCAUCCAUAUCCCAAACACCUAAAAAUGAGCCGGUCAGAAUGUUGCAAAAAGAGAAGUUUCGGGUAUUUCAGAAAUUUUCUGAGUCGUGUCAUAACUCUCAAGUGCCAUUGGAGGGUUCUGAAAUUUCCUGAGAUUUCAUGCAUUUAGUUCAGUGUGGGGCUGAGAGCCUGAUAGAACAAGGGAGAACCAAACAUCAAGAAAGACGAGAGAGAGUGUCCUACCUGGACUUCUUGGAGGAGAGAUUCAAGUUGAGCUGUUAUAUCGGAGAAGGAAGGCCGAUUGGAAGGAACUGAAUCCCAGCAACUCUGCAUUAAUUCCAAAACCUUGGGGUGUCCAUUAUUCGGAAUUUCCGGUCUCAGCCCCUGGGAAAUAGAAUGUCAAACAAAACAUAACUAUUUAGGCACAAAAGAAUUUGGAUAAAAUACUACGCUGAGUGAACAGCCAAACCAGUUGGUAUGUACCAUUGUACAUGAUUUCAGAGGCAUAAUUUAUACUUAUUUAUAUUAUAAGCAACAAAAAUGUCAUCAGAAGAUACAGAAAUUUGUUAUUCACUAAGUUUUACCCUUUUCUUGCGUUUAUAAAAUAUAUGCCUGCUUUGUAACAGCUUUUUUUAGUUUGAAUGGGAGGAUAUUCAGACCACAGGGUUACAAACAUAAACUCAGGCACGUCAUCAAUUCAAACUUUAAUUCGACAUGUAGAAUUGUCAACAUCUGUAAGAUACACACAUGGCAGGCAACAGGACGAAACACCAUAGAGGAAAAUUUAUAAUCAAGUUGCAUGAACUGUGGAUUAACAGGAUUUCUUAAGCAGCAAAUACAAUGCGGGCUAUAGAAAACACGUCUUCAUUCAUCAAUAUUCAAUACACAGACGAACAGAUAUAAAUAAUACAUAUGUAUUAUAAAUGGAUAUACGAAUAAACAAUAAACCUGUCUAACUCCCAAGGCAGCUUGCAAUGGAGUCAUGGUAUCAUAUGGAACCUGCAAUACAAAAUCAUACGAGUUUGAAAAUAAAUAAAUAAAAAAAUCUUAAGAAGUUUGAUAAUGUCCACAUCCAAAAUUCCCAAUACACAGAGGAAGCAUACUUUGGCUGUUACUAGCUCCCAAAGUACAAUUGCGAAACUGAACACAUCUGCUUUCUGAUCAUAUGGUUGAUGGUUGAUAACCUUGCAAAAUACAAGAAACCAAUAAGAUAUUGAAAUAAGAAUGUAAAUCAAUGUCGUCAAACUACGGUGCAUCUGCUAUGGUAAUGACGCAGUAACAAAACCAGAAUGUUGACAUCCAAAAUGCAAUUAACAAAACAGGAAAUUCAAUGAACCAUAGCCUGCUUGCCAAAACAAAGGGAUAUUGAUAAUUGUUUAUGAUAAACUAAUCAAUCCAUAGAUCACAACAAAGGACCAAUUUGUGAACCAAGUCCAACGGUUUAAGAGUUGACAAUAAUUUUCACGAAGAGACAAAGCAGGAAAAAAAAAGCAGAGGAAAAUAUUGAACCAGAAGAAUCGGACCUCAGGUGCCAUCCAUCGAUAGGUUCCAGUCUCUGCUGUCAUUACUCCCUCUUGAUUCUGAAACCGAGCAACACCAAAAUCUGCCACCUUUACAACCUGAAGGCAAACAAGAAAAUGAUUUUCAACUGUAAAAGAAAAGAAAAACCUAUUUGUUUUUCCUAAACAGAAAAAUAGAAUAGCCAGGAUGUGAGAGGAGAUUUCAACCAUUUAUACUUGGAAAUCUAACCAGGAAACAGUUUACCCAUUAUCAUAAACAAAUAAUGCUGUGUUUAGCUUUGAACUUUACUUAUAGUUAUUAAAAAAUAUAAAUAUACUUGUCGAAAGUAGAAUUGCAUUACCCCACAUCUUUAAACACAAAUCUAACUUCAUCAUUCAUGACAUCCUGAAAGUAUCAAAUUCACCAUCGACAAAAACUCAGAAGACAUCAAUUCCAGUAUGUCCAUGAGAAUUUUGGUCGAAUUGAACUUUUGACAUGCAGAUAUACUUCUCCCAUAAUCAAACUUCAUACCUCAAAGCACAACGCACAAUUACCCCAUACAAAACAAUAGACGGUUUGGUUACUCAAGUCCAAUAACUACAACUUAUAUCAACUAAAGCAGCAAUAGAUCCACUGAAGACAUUAGCCCUUUUAAAAAAAUUACAAACAAAUCUAUUGAACUUUAUCGUUUUCCUGUCGCCUAAGUUAAGCUGUAUAUGUACAAUGACAAAUUAAAUCAAUAGAGUUAUCAUGAAUAUGCGUAGGUUACAUUUUGCAGAAAGUGAAGCUGCCAAACAAGCAAACAAUAACCUUUAAUUCUUACAUUGUUAGUGUCCAUUAGCAGAUUUGCCGUCUUUAGAUCCCUAUGAAUUAUGUUAUUAUGAUGCAAAUACUCCAUUCCUUUACAGACAUCAAUUGCAAACUUUAGCAGUUCUGAAAGCUUCAAGAUGUUAUGAUUCUUAUGCAAAUAAUCGUAAAGACUUCCACCGGGCAUAUACUCUGCAAAAAAUAAAAAACAAAUGAAUUUUCAUAAUUAUGGUAAUAGUACAAUACAGCAACAAGUCGGCACUGGACUAAUUAUACUCAUCUCAAACUACAAACAGAUCUAAACAGUAAAGUUUUACAUAAAGAAAUCAAGAUGAAAUCAACAAUAAAGCUCUAACCAUAAAAAGAUACCCUGCCAAAUACUAUCCCAAAAUUCUCAAGAAACAACAUCCAAAGGUAAUCCCAAAACAAAAUCUAUCCCACGAAUGAUUACAUCCUUCAACUCCUAACCUACAUGAAGCUUCAUAAUACGCACCAAGUUGCCAAAGGCUGGCUGAUUGACAAAUUACAUAUAAUAGGGAAUUCCAAUAUGCACGACAUCCAAACAGCUUAGAGGAAUUUAAAAUAUAUAACACACAAGUAAAAUCUUCCUAAAUGCUGCAUACUCAGAGAAGAAGUACUAGCGCAUCCAAAACUUAAAAGAGUAUAAAUAAUGUGUAAGUAUGUUCCAACAACAACAACAAGGCAUUUUCCCACUAAGUAGGGUAGGCUAUAUGAAUCCUAGAACGCCAUUGCGCUCGGUUCUGUGUCACAUCUUCUGUUAGAUCCAAGUACUCUUAAGUCUUUUCUUAUAGUCUGUUCCAAAGCCUUCCUAGGUCUUACUCUACCCCUUCGGCCUUAAACCUCUGUCCUGUAAUCGCAUCUAGUGUAAGUAUGUUCCAAGAAAGAUAUUUUUAGUUCCAUUAAUACUUCUCCUGAUCCUAAUAAAAAUUUUCAAAAAGAUAGAAUGAAAACUUUGGUUGGCUACACCUAUAUUGGUGGAAACCAUCCGAUGUCAUUGAUUUUUUGUAGAAUGAUAUCCUUUGGUCCAUAAAAGAUAUUUUAUGAGAUCCGUUUUGGCGAAUGGUAAAAGGGGAUAGCUUUUAAGAAGGGAAAUGUGAGUGUGUUGGGGUGGAUUUUCUCCCUUUUUAUGUUCCUUGUAAAAGAAUAUACUAUGCUUCACUAACAAAAUUAAAAAGUAAAAAAGAAAACUUAUAAACAAUCUGAUGCUUAUUCUUACUUUUCUUAGUUGCACUGCUUCUAAAAACAUCUCCACAUGUAAGAUUCUGAUACAGAAUGAACAAAACCUCGAAAGAAGCUAACUUAACAAAUAUAGUAAAUGUUGGAGGCAACCAACAGGAGAGUUCCAUACCUGUCACUAUGCACAAAUGUGGAGACUUUGUACAUGCACCGAUAAAGCGCACAACAUUACUAUGAUGGACCUCUCUGCAAUCAUAAAACAAAUAUAAUAUAUAUCAGUAUUGCUUAAUAGCAAUACGCAUGCCAACAUAACCUAUAAAAUGGAACAACAGUUUUCUUUUCCCUUGAAUAAGAGACAAUUUAUUAGUAAAGAAUAAGAUACAGAGAAGACACUAUGAAAAACUAGAAACAGCAAAAGGUGGAACCUAGCCAUGAAUUUUAACUGCCUAGAUGUGUGAAAUGCAGCAUGGGCUAGCUGCAUUUUACUUAACUAUCAGAAAAUUCAUUCACUUUAUGGGUUUCAAGAAUAGUUACAGCUAAUAUACCACAAAAUGAAAGACUAGCUGCAUUAAAUGUGAUUUUUUAAAUGACACAAUAAGACAUGUUUCUUGGUUCCAUUUGUAAUUACAUUUGGCAUAUUCUUCCAAAGCCUCGUCGAAAUAAAGACCAGCAACCUGGAUAUUCAACCAGCAAUCCUGGAUAUUCAACCAGCAAAUCCAGAAAACGUGAAGCAUUCUCUUGUCAUUCCCAGAGAUUAUAGGAAUUGUUCUUGUACAGGCUAGUAUAGAAGUUCAUUAUGGAGGAUGUUGGAAAAUAAUGGAAAAAUCUUUAAAAGUUUACAAGUGGAGAAGAGCUCUCAAUAGAAAUGAUAAGAGUGAUUUCAUAUGAACUCCCCAGCAGGGACCAGCCUAGAUUAAAAGAAGAUAAAGAUAGAAAAUUAUUCACCUUAAAAUUGCCACUUCUUGAGCAAACUCAUCCUCUAGAGCAUCAUUCAAAUGUUCAGAUCUCAAAAUCUUAACAGCAACAUCUUGACCAAGAUAAAUUCCACGAUACCUGAGAAUGAACAGUAAUAUAAAGUUAAGCAGCAGAGAAGACUAUAAACGAAUAAAGGAAUGCCAAAAAUAAAACAUAUCUUACAAAUCUCCACAUGACCCAGAUGCAAUUCUGUCUCCGAUCAUUAAUAAUCUUCGGUCUAUUUCCCAGAGUCCUGUCUUUUCUUUCACCGAUAAUUCUUUCUCCACAGCCGAAUGAGAAUGUGAAGAUCUUGACCAUGACCCCUAAAUUACCAAACAACAGAUACGUAUUACUAUCUUAUAAUUCUUCGAUUAUUUUAGCAUUGUGACGCAAUAUACCUCACUUCUAGCAAUUGCCUUUUCCAUAGCUUCAUACAGACCAUCUGUAUCCUGACCACAACAUUGCAAAGUCAGCAACAUUUGAACUCAGCACAGUUGUCAUAAAAUUAAUAUAAUCACAAUUCCCCUUAAUGUAUUCUGAAGACAUUUUCUUGGAGGAACUGUAGCUUUUUCGACUUGUCCAAUUUGAUAAAACCCAAUAUUUAUAACAAACAUAUUGGGAUGCAUUAGAUCCAAUAAUUGUAGCAAUGCCAUAUUACAGCCCAGAGAUAAACACUGACUAAAAAGCGUUCAUCCAUGCAUAAAAAGAGAAAGCACAUAAACAGCUUGCAGUAUAGCAAAAUCCAUAGCCAACAAAAAUAAGCAUAUUGUAGUAGCAAUGUACCACAUAUUUUAAGAAAGGCCAUCCAACGUUUCGUGUAUUGGAAAUUACUCAUUUAUAAUAUAAUAACAUGCAAAAUUUCAAGAUUCAAAACUCUGACAGUAGAAAGUAAUCUGUGAAUGACGAUAAACACAUUAUAUAGUAAAAGAAAACUACCUCAACAGGCCAUCCAUCUACCACAAAUACAUCUAAAGAGUAGCCAUCGCUCGUCGAGAAGACAUGUGCUUCACGGAUGUUAAGUUCCAAAUCCGAAAGCAAGGAAGAAAGCUACAGAAUGAUGACAUAAGUUAGAAAGAUGCGACCACAGUAUGGUUACACUUCUGCAGUUAUCUUGGAUUCUACAACAUAAACAAUGCAUAUAAUAUGUAUCAAAUGUACUGAAUAGUCCAUUGCUACCUUUAAAUUCAUUUUCCAAUUGAAUUUGAAGGCUAUAGAUUUUCAACUUUAUAUUAAUGAAAGAAAUCAUAAUGAAAAAGAACUCUUCCAAUACAACGUCUUCUCACAAUUAUAUUUAAUACCCAAGCUUACUGCAUUGAGGUGCCAGCGUGUGAGGUCUAGACACUAGAGUUGACACAAAACAUCAGAUGGAGAACCAUAAAACAUGAAUGACGGACCAUCACAGUGUCACAUGAAAACAAAGAUAGUUGCUUGAGUUAUAAACAUUAGGUAUUGAACACACAUUCAUAUUAGUGAGUACCAAGAGAACUGCUUAAGUGGAGACAGAGUAUUACAGGAUAAUGAAGCUAUCAAAUGAUGUCAAAUUUCAAUACCCUUUAACAUUGAAGAAAUUAUGUACAUGUGGACACUAAAACUACAGAAAUACUAUCACUUGAUGCUAUUCAAUCAGAUGAUCCUUUUGAUUAUUAAUUGAAAAAAGGAAUGCUGAAUCCAACUUCAUGAUCCAGAAUGUAAGUGCAAUAUCAGAUAAGUUUGUCCACUAUCCUAUCAUACUAAUCUUAUAUGACCCCUUUGAGAUAUAACUCGUUGAACAGUUGAACUUAGUUUACCAAAUAGACCUUCAGCUUUAAUUUGCAAACACGUAAGGGAACAAUCAGCAGAUUUUCGGGCUUCAAACUCUGAUUUCUUUUCAGAUUCUAAGAAUAUUUUGAAACUGAGAUCGAGGUAAACUCCAGGUGGUAAUACCAAACUUGACAACAAACGAAUAAAUUAAACCUUCUCAGUCAUACCUGGCUAAGAAGCUUAGGCUUGUCAAUAGUUGAAAAUAUUACUUCAUGAAUGGGAACAUGUGGUAUAUCUUGCCUGCGUUAUACAGCCCAAUGGUCAAUAUCAUUUCUGCAUAAUUAUACAUGUUUUUUCUUUAAAUGAGAAACAAAGUUUUACUAAAGAUACUCAAAAACACAGUACAAGACUCUGAACAAACUGGUCCACCAACAAAAUGAUUCAACUAAUGAAAAACAAAUCUGAAUUACACCUAUGACAAUGUAAUGGAACUUUCAAAAUUACCCUAUAAGAGCUUCCCAAUCUAAUAAGAUGUUAGAAAUUGGUAGAUCCCUAAAGGGUGGAGAAAAACAAGCUGAUAAGCAUAAAUGUGAUCUCUCAAAUAUACGGGCACAGUUCAUAUAAAAACUGCACAAUUAAAAUAUAAAGUAUAUGAAAAAGACCCGGAUAAAGGAGGAGGGGGAGGGCGUCAGGUAGUCGACAGCCGGCACUCCAUGAUCACGUCGAAUCCUUAUGAAAAUGAAUCCAGAACAAAAUCGCGCUAAAGCUAGGGCGUCACCCGUAAGUGGCGCGCUGUGUGGCCUGAGCACAGUGAUAAGUGAGCAAGGGUCGCUGUAUCUCCAUCGGCACCCGGAUGCAGUGUUAAAUGAGCAAGGGGGCCAUAGAAACUUCUUUUCGAACGACUCCACUCAAAGUUGUUUGGGAGCAUAUGCUCCUAUCAACUUUACCCGGGACACACAAAAGAAGUACUUUGAUCCUAUUAGACGGGGGAGGGUGAAGAAGCUAGGACAGAAGGGUAGAGUUCAAGAGAGCAAAAUGCGUUUAGGAACGUGGAAUAUAGGAACCUUAACGGGAAAAUCUAUGGAAGUAGUGGAAGUUAUGGUGAGGAGAAGGAUAAAUAUUAUGUGCCUACAAGAAACUAAGUGGGUUGGUAGUAAGGCAAAGGAUCUAGAAAACUCAGGGUUUAAACUUUGGUAUUCGGCACAAAUAGAACGAGAAACGGUGUUGGCAUCAUCGUGGACAAGACCUUGGUACAAGAUGUUGUAGAUGUCAAGAGGGUAGGAGAUAGAAUCAUGGCAAUCAAGAUUGUAAUAGGACAAGAACUUAUCAAUGUGAUUAGUGCGUACGCACCUCAAGUAGGGUUGGAUACGAGUUCGAAGGAGAAAUUUUGGGAAGAUCUUGGAGACUUGGUGCAAGGAAUUGCUCAGACGGAGAAGUUAUUUAUAGGAGGAGAUUUAAAUGGACACGUGGGCAGGGAGACAGGCAACUAUGGAGGUUUUCAUGGUGGCCAUGGUUUUGGGGAGAGAAACGAGGAUGGGGAAGCUAUCUUGGAUUUUGCAAUGGCAUAUGAUCUCUUCUUAGCCAACACCUUCUUUAAGAAGAGAGAAGAACAUGUGAUCACCUACAAGAGUGGGUCGUCAAAAACACAAAUAGAUUUUCUUCUAAUGAGGAAAGGGGAUCGUAUAACUUGUAAGGAUUGCAAAGUUAUACCAGGAGAGAGCGUGGCUAAUCAACAUCGCUUGUUGGUGAUGGAUGUACAUAUCAAAAGAGUAAGACAAAAGAACAAGACUUGGAAGUGCCCAAGGACUAGAUGGUGGAAUCUAAAAGAAGAAAAACAAGCCAUUUUCAAAGAGAAGGUAAUCACCCAAUGUGUGUGGGAUAGAGAGGGGGAAGCUAGCCAAAUGUGGGAUUCCAUGGCUAGUUGUAUCCGAAAAGUAGCAAAAGAGGUAUUAGGAGAGUCCAAGGGCUUUGCCCCACACCAAAAGGAAUCUUGGUGGUGGAAUGAGGAGGUACAAACAAAGGUGAAGGCUAAGAAGGAAUGUUGUAAAGCCUUAUACAAGGAGAGGACUGAUGAAAAUGGUGAAAGGUAUAGAAAAGCGAAGCAAGAGGCGAAGAAAGCUGUCAGAGAAGCUAAGUUAGCGGCUUACGACGAUAUGUAUAAACGACUAGAUACCAAAGAAGGAGAGUUGGAUAUCUAUAAACUAUCUAGAGCAAGGGAAAAAAGAAGACAAGGGACCUAAACCAAGUGAGGUGCAUCAAGGAUGAGGAUGGAAAGGUUCUUGCUACAGAGAACGCGGUUAAAGACAGAUGGAGAGGUUAUUUUCAUAAUCUUUUCAAUGAAGGACAUGAAAUGAGUGCUUCUUUAGGGGAGUUGAGUAACUCAGAAGAGUGUAGAAACUACUCUUUUUAUCGUCGAAUCCGGAAGGAAGAAGUGGUUGUAGCUUUGAAGAAGAUGAAGCAUAAAAAAGCAAUAGGCCCAGACGAUAUACCAAUCGAAGUGUGGAAACUUUUGGGAGAGACAGGUAUAACAUGGCUCACUGACCUUUUCAAUAGGAUUUUGAAAACGAAGAAGAUGCCAAAUGAGUGGCGAAUGAGCACUUUGGUGCCUAUCUACAAGAAUAAGGGCGACGUACAAAAUUGCAUGAACUAUAGGGGUAUUAAGCUAAUGAGUCAUACAAUGAAGCUCUGGGAGAGAGUCAUUGAGCAUAGAUUGAGGCAAGAGACACGGGUUUCGGACAACCAAUUCGGGUUCAUGCCAGGGCGCUCAACCAUGGAGGCAAUCUAUCUCUUACGAAGAUUGAUGGAAAUAUAUAGAGAUGGGAAAAAGGAUUUACACAUGGUCUUUAUAGAUUUGGAAAAAAGCGUAUGAUAGGGUCCCAAGAGACAUUCUUUGGAGGAUUUUAGAGAAGAAAGGAGUAGUACGAGUAGCAUAUAUCCAAGCUAUAAAGGAUAUGUAUGAAGGAGCAAAGACUGCCGUAAGAACUCAUGAAGGACAAACCGAAAGCUUUCCCAUAACUGUAGGAUUACAUCAAGGCUCAUCCUUAAGUCCUUACCUUUUUGCGUUGGUAAUGGAUGAGUUAACACGACAUAUUCAAGAUGAUAUUCCUUGGUGUAUGCUUUUCGCAGACGAUAUAGUGUUGAUAGAUGAAACUCAGGAAGGGGUAAAUGCAAAGCUUAACCUUUGGAGAGAAGUGUUGGAAUCUAAAGGUCUUCGCCUAAGCCGAUCAAAGACAGAAUAUAUGGAGUGCAAGUUCAGUGCAAAUGGAGGCCAAAACGAGUUAGGGGUGAGGAUCGGAGAUCAAGAAAUACCAAAGAGCGACCGUUUUCGUUACCUAGGAUCUAUCUUUGCAAAAGAACGGAGAAUUAGAUGGAGAUCUCAACCAUAGAAUACAAGCUGGAUGGAUGAAGUGGAAGAGUGCAUCCGGCGUGUUGUGUGACCGCCGUAUGCCACUGAAGCUCAAGGGAAAAUUUUAUAGGACGGCAAUAAGGCCGGCGAUGCUGUAUGGCACAGAAUGUUGGGCGGUGAAACAUCAACACGUACACAAAAUGGGUGUAGCGGAGAUGAGGAUGCUUCGUUGGAUGUGUGGGCACACGAGAAAGGAUAAGAUUAGGAAUGAGGAUAUCCGGGGUAAAGUAGGAGUAGCCGAAAUUGAAGGAAAGAUGAGAGAAAAUCGGUUACGGUGGUUUGGACAUGUGCAAAGAAGGCCUACUGACGCUCCGAUUAGAAGAUGCGACUAUGGGACAGAGGUUCAGGGCCGAAGGGGUAGAGGAAGACCUAGGAAAACUUUGGAAGAGACUCUAAGAAAAGACUUAGAGUACUUGGAUCUAACGAAGGAGGACAUGACACAGGAUCGAGCACAAUGGCGUUCUAAGAUUCAUAUAGCCGAUCCCACUCAGUGACUUGGAUUUUCCAAGUCUCCAACCGAGAAGUUUUCCUCACUCGGGAAAUUAAGGGAACACUACCCCAACCUACAUGCUCCACUCAGAAAGCUUCAACAUACAAGCUUCAACAAAAGAAAAUUCAAAGAACUUAGCGAAGAAGGCUUUGGUGUAUUUAACACAAUACGUUGAAAUGAAGGAAAGCUUAUUUAUUGAUAUCCCCGAUAAGCUACAAAUAUGUACAUAUACAUGAGUCAAAAUAAACACAAGAGGGAGCCUUCACAAAGGUUGCUUAGGAGAAGUCUCAGCAGUCGGUAGAGCCCCAGAAAGAGAAGGCACCGGAGGGGGAUCAUUUGGAGCCUCAGUACUGGACAGAACCCUAGAAGGAGGAGGCAUCAGAGGUUGAUCAUUUGGAGCUUCAUUACGCGGUACAGCCCCAGAAGACGAAGGCAAUAAAUGCCUUUGGAACAAACCCACAAAUCUCUGAUGAUCAAGUAAAACCUGACCAUCAGUUUCCUUCAUCUGGUCAAGCUUCCUCUUCAUGUUUGUAGCAUAGUCAUGUGCGAGCCGGUGCAACUGUUUAUUCUCAUGCUUGAGCCCUCUAAUCUCCUGUUUGAGACUCAUCACUUCAGCCGCCAAUGAUUCAACUUGGCGGGUUCGAGCAAAUAGGCGUUGGGCCAUAUUAGACACAGAACCUGCACACUGAACACUGAGAGCCAGCGAAUCCUUAACAGCUAACUCAUCAGACCGUUUGGAAAGUAGUCUGUUAUCUUUGGGAGUGAGAAGGUUCCUGGCCACCACCGCAGCGGUCAUAUCAUUCUUCAUCACGGAAUCCCCAACGGUAAGAGGACCAGUAGGGGAGACGAAGGAUGGGCGCCAUAUGUUGUCUGGAGAAGGCGGGGCUGCCUCUUCAACAAGGUUCAAGUCAAAACGACGGUCGGAGGGGCCAGACAUUUUCAAAGGUGUUGAAGAGAGAAGAGGUCGGACAAAUCAAGAUCUUAGAAGUGCAAGAAUGAAGCUUCUACUGGUGGAGAUUCAAGUGUGCUUUGGAACUUAAUGCCAGCCCCUAUAUAAAAAUCUGCACUCGACGAAGCUUUAGAAAUCGAAGAGGCGCCUGCUCAGAAAUCGAAGAGGCGUUUGCUUUCUCAAAAGCUGGGCUGCUUAGAGAUCACGAGGGUUGAUCUCAGAAAUCGAAGAGGUGUUUGCUUUCUCAAAAGUUAGGCUGCUCAAAGACCACGAAGGCCGAUCUCAAAAAUCGAAGAGGCGCUCGCUUUCUCAAAAGCUGGGCUCCCCAGAGACCACGGGGGCCGAUAUCAGAAAUCGAAGAGGCACCUACUUUUCCAGCCUUUUCCAGCCUUGUCAGCACCUGUCACACGCACACUCAGUUUUGCGGAAAUUAUGGGCAUUCUGUCAAAGACUUCUGGGGAAGUAGAAAACACAUGAAUCUUACUGUUCAAUCACCCACUUCCCACACGCAACAAUAGCUCAUGGGUACCACAGAUAACUUUGCCAAAGUUCUCUGCCAAAGUUGAGCACGUGAAGCUUGCAGCUCCUACUACAUCGCUCUGACCAAGAAGGGUAAAAGAAUAGCAAAGAAACAGCACUAACAAAGUUUAGACCCAUAAAUUUUGAAGGUCUAGCUACCAUAUUAUUACCCACAAGGGUAAAGGAACAGUACCACUGCUGGAUAAUUGGAAAGUCCCUGUGUGUCAACCUCUGUGCUUCGUGGCAAGGUAGACUAGCAAACAUGCCCAACCUUUACUCACAUUCGAGAAAACACUCCCAAUAAGAUUGCUUGCUCCAAAAUCGAAGAGGCACCGUCCUCCGAAUCUCGAGAGCCAGACUCCCAACAUGACUACUUUCUUAAAAAUCGAAGAGAGAGGGUAAAGGAACAGUACCAUUGCUGGAUAAUUGGAAAGUCCCUGUGUGUCAACCUCUGUGCUUCGUGGCAAGGUAGACUAGCAAACAUGCCCAACCUUUACUCACAUUCGAGAAAAACACUCCCAACAAGAUUGCUUGCUCCAAAAUCGAAGAGGCACCGCCCUCCGAAUCUCGAGAGCCAGACUCCCAACAUGAUUACUUUCUCAAAAAUCGAAGAGACACUGCUCCCCGAAUCUCGAGAGCCAGACCCCCAGCAUGAUUGCUUUUUCAAAAAUCGAUGAGGCAUCGUUCUCCGAAUCAAUCGAAGAGGCGCUCGCUUUCUCAAAAGCUGGGCUGCUCAGAGACCACGAGGGCCGAUCUCAGAAAUCGAAGAGGCACCUACUUUUCUAGCCUUGUCAGCACCUGUCACACGCACACUCAGCUUUGCAGAAAUUAUGGGCAUUCUGUCGAAGACUUCUGGUGAAGUAGAAAGCACAUGAAUCUUACUGUUCAAUCACCCACUUCCCACACGCAACAAUAGCUCAUGGGUACCACAAAUAACUUUGCCAAAGUUCUCUGCCAAAGUUGAGCACGUGAAGCUUGCAGCUCCCACUACAUCGCUCUGACCAAGAAAGGUAAAAGAAUAGCAAAGAAACAGCACUAACAAAAGUUUAGACACAUAAAUUUUUGAAGGUCUAGCUACCAUAUUAUUACCCACAACUGUAAAGGAACAGUACCACUGCUGGAUAAUUGGAAAGUCCAUGUGUGUCAACCUCUGUGCUUCGUGGCAAGGUAGACUAGCAAACAUGCCCAACCUUUACUCACAUUCGAGAAAACACUCCCAAUAAGAUUGCUUGCUCCAAAAUCGAAGAGGCACCGACCUCCGAAUCUCGAGAGCCAGACUCCCAACAUGAAUACUUACUCAAAAUCGAAGAGAGGGUAAAGGAACAGUACCAUUGCUGGAUAAUUGGAAAGUCCCUGUGUGUCAACCUUUGUGCUUCGUGGCAAGGUAGACUAGCAAACAUGCCCAACCUUUACUCACAUUCGAGACAACACUCCCAACAAGAUUGCUUGCUCCAAAAUCGAAGAGGCACCGCCCUCCGAAUCUCGAGAGCCAGACUCCCAACAUGAUUACUUCCUCAAAAAUCGAAGAGACACUGCUCUCCGAAUCUCGAGAGUCAUACCCCCAGCAUGAUUGCUUUCUCAAAAAUCGAAGAGGCAUCGUUCUCCGAAUCUCGAGAGCCAGAUACCACAGACCACUUUUUCAAAGUGCUCUGACAGAGUUAAAACAUGUGAAACUGGCAGCUCCCACUACCGUGCUAUGACCAAGCAGGGUAAAGGAAUAGCAUUACUACUUGUUGUUAGGGAGACUCCUAUAUAUGUCGACCUCCAUCCCCAACGGACAGGCAGACCUGCAAAAAUGCUCAACCCUUCAUCAUAUCUGAGAGGGCACUCCCAACGAAGCCUUUCGAAAUAUUCAGCUUUCUUUCCCCCCGAUAAUACCUCUGCAAACAAGCUAUACUAGAGCAAGAAUAUCUCAUAUCAUCAGGGUUAAAAGCAAGAGUAUCCCAUAUCAUGCUUUUUCCCUGUCUUUUCUUUUUGGCCUUGUUUUUACCUGCAAGACAAGGAGAAAGAGAGCAAUCAGUCAGCACUUGGAAUCAAGCUUCCAGCCAGGAACUGACUGCCUGGAACCCCUUACCUGAUUACUUACCUGGCAUUGCUCUCGAGUACUCAUCUUCAACAUCUUAUGUUUCCAGGGAAGAUUCCGCAUCUGCUUGAGGAACAGAUAGGGCAAGUGCGAAGGAUACAAGGAAGCAUGUGGAGACAAGCGUAACAGCACACGUGCCGAUACAUUCAUUACUCUGUCAAAAGCAAAAGUAUCCCAUAUCAGCAGGGUGGAACGUACUCUAGAUUUGAUGGACUUGUUUUGACCCUCAAAUUCUUCAGUCGGCCUUAUACUCUGGAGAAAACCAGAAAACCCUCCAGCUCAGUUCAAGAAUAAGCCUGUGGAAAGUUACUUCUUCAAAAGCAAAAGUAUCUCAUAUCAUCUCUUCUCAUUUUUCUUCUCUUUUAUCCUUCAUGCUGCUGCAAGAUGGGGAGAAGGUGAACAAUCAGUCGGAGCUCUGAUUGCUUACCUUGUCUGUCACCUCUUUCAGCAGACCCCUAGCUCGGCGACUUGGGGGACUCCUACUACAUGGUUUGUAUCGCGCUUGACCAAGCCUGAAACUACAAGUAAGCUUCAAGUGAAAUUGAUACAUUACCUUGUGCAUCUCCACCAGUUAAAGAUAUCCACCCCUGGAUGGAGGAAGAGUACUUCCAGAGAAGAUGCCACAUCUACCUAUGAGACAGAUAAGGCAAGUCAAGACGACACCACACUCCGAUACUUAGAAGUUUCGUGAUUACGAGAUCAUUCUCCCACAAUAUUUCCUAAUGUCAUUUGUACUAAAAUCAUUCACUUGUACUCACUAAAUGAGAGCUUGAACCUAUGUACUUGUGUAAACCCUUCACAAUUAAUGAGAACUCUUCUAUUCCGUGGACGUAGCCAAUCUGGGUGAACCACGUACAUCUUGUGUUUGCUUUCCUAUCUCUAUCCAUUUAUAUACUUAUCCACACUAAUGACCGGAGCAAUCUAGCGAAGAUCAUAAAAAGCGAUCGUUUUCGCUACCUAGGAUCUAUCUUGCAAGAGAACGGAGAAUUAGAUGGAGAUCUCAACCAUAGAAUACGAGCUGGAUGGAAAGAGUGCAUCCGGCGUGUUGUGUGACCGUCGUAGGCCACUGAAGCUCAAGGGAAAAUUUUAUAGGACGGCAAUAAGGCUAGCGAUGUUGUAUGGCACAGAAUGUUGGGUGGUGAAGCAUCAACACGUACACAAAAUGGGUGUAGCGGAGAUGAGGAUGCUUCGUGGGAUGUGUGGGCACACGAGAAAAGGAUAAGAUUGGGAAUGAGGAUAUCCGAGGUAAAGUAGGAGUAGCUGAAAUUGUAGGAAAGAUGAGAGAAAAUCGGCUCCGGUGAUUUUGAACAUGUGCAAAGAAGGCCGACUGACGCUCCGGUUCGAAGAUGUGACUACGGGACAGAGGUUCAGGGCCGAAGGGGUAGAGGAAGACCUAGGACAACUUUGGAAGAGACUCUAAGAAAAGACUUAGAGUACUUGGAUCUAACGGAGGACAUGACACAAAACCGAACGCAAUGGCGUUCUAGGAUUCAUAUAGCCGACCCCACUUAGUGGGAAAAGGCUUUGUUGUUGUUGUUGUUGUUGUUGUUGAUUAAGCAUUAAUAUCAGCAUAAAGAAAAAUUAUUUUCUAUUUUUAAUUUGGAAAAUAAGACCUUUAGCAUAUUACUUCAUAAAUAUGUGUAUUUACUAUUUAUGCGUGCAUGCAUAUGUUUGUCUUUAUACAAUUUCAUGAUCACAUUGUACACUUCUAUGUAUCAUGUCUACCCUUUAUACACAUGAAAUAUCAUAUACAGUAAUUGCUUGUCAACACAUUCAUUAGAGCUUUACAAAUCGUUUAUCUAAUUUCUGUUUGAUAAGAUACAACAAAUUUAUCAGAAUAAAAUUUUGAUAAAAAUAGUGCACAUUAAAGCAAGAAGAAAGUAAGUUUUAAACAAGUGUCUUCCAACCUAUAGAAAGAGGGCUUCUCAAAAUUCCACCCAAAACUUUAACACUGAAAGCCUAUAAUAAGGCAACAUACAUUAUUCUACCCCUAAUUGCUACAAAUUCUUGAUGCUUGACCCAUAGCAAUUUUUCAGUGUGCAUCUCAAUAUUAACUUAGUCUUCAUCAUCCCAAGUCCUCAAAAAUGUAUACGCAAAAUAUGAGAAGUCAAAUGAAGCAAAACAAUAACUAACUUCGCUGCACAUAACAAUCUGCUCCAUAACUUAACCAAUGCAUAUGUUCAUCCAAAAGAAAAUGAUGCAUCUAUUCACCAUUCUUUCUACUGUUAAUUCACCAUUUACGAUAUAAAGAAAGGUCUGACUCACCUUCGAAGAAAAUUACUAGUGCUAAAUUUUUCAUAAGCUUUGCCCAAGGUAAAAGUUAACUUUCCUAGGAACCAGUGGAUUCCAUUAAAUCUUUAGGAAAAAAACUGAUAGAGUGACAACCAAUCAACCUUCAGAAUAAAGAGUUCCUACAAAAGAGUUCCUCAAAAUAAUUAGGGACCAAAGCCAUUAUGACUUGUUGCUCUUGAUAUGCAAUGGGUUUCUAUUGAGCACUUUCAUUUUGGGUAUUGUUGGUUAGAGACCAAAAGCUUGCAGCUCACUAAGAUAAAGUAAACGAGUAAACCAAUAUAUUGGUGGCAAUUGAUGUAUCAAAUGGUAAGAAUUAAUCUGACAAUGUGAAAAGGAUGGUGAUUUUCACACCCCAUUUACCUCCCGCACACUCUUUCGAUUUUUUAAUAUCUUUUUGCUCUUCCAUCACUUUGUCUUUAUUUUAGAGGUGGGCCUUCACCAAGAGCAAACAAAUAUUAAAAUUUUGAAAAUGUGUGGGAAGUAACAUGGGGUGUGAGAAAAUCACCACCCAUGUGAAAAAAUUAAAAAUCUUGUUAUAAUGAACCCAGUAGUGCUUAUUCUAGAACAGAAAACAAGCCAACAAACUUUGGUUGAGUACCUUGUGGGAGAAUCCUUGGUCAGAUGUCUUCCGUCCAUAUCCUUAGCAUUCUUUCUAACAUCCAAAUUUAGGUCCCCGAGCUUAGAGCAAGGUUCAAAGUCAGCCGCACAAUUCCUAGUUUUACUCAGAGAAAUGAUAUAAAUAAAUGACAACCAAAAAAGGUCCACAGAUCAAUAUCCAGAGUCACCGAAACCCUUGUUGGGAAAAACUACGGCAAAAAGUUUAAGCACUCAGAGACAAAGUACAACACAGAUAUAAUAUGGUUAUUACCUAUCAUGUGACAGAGUAGCUCCUUCACUAGUUUCAUCACAUGAUGACCUUGGGGUUGAAACAACACUUGUACAUUGUUGAACAUCAUCAUCUUCGUCGUCUGUCCCCAUAGAAGUAUUCUGAUCAUAAGUACAUAAAAUGAUGAACAUAAGAGGAACUUAAUGAUAAAUAAAAGGGUAAAUCGCCAAAAUGGUCCCUGAGAUUUGCAUAACUUAUCACUUUGGUCCCCAAGAUUCCAAAUCGAUAAAAGUGGUCCCUGAGAUUGUCCACCAUCCAUCAUUUUGGUCCUUCCGUUAAGUGUCCCAGAGCUCUUGGCCAGAAGUUUGGGCAAUUUUCAAAGCUUCGUAACUCAAUCGUUUCUUAACCAAAUUCGAUCCAUAAUAUAUCAAAAUGAAGAUAGGAAAGUGUAGAAUAAGAUUAUACCUAUUUCGAAGCCCAAUGGUUGCCGGAGAUGGCCGGAAAAUAGCCUCAAAGUUGACUGGUCCGAGCGAAAACUUGAAAACUCGCCGGAAACUGGGUAAACUUUAAACGUUCGUAACUUCUUCAAUACUCAACGAAAUCAAGUGAUUCAAAAACGAAAAUCAUACUUCUCGAUGAGACAAAGAGAAUGGUCUAGGUACCAUUCUCUUUGUCUUGUCGAGAAGUAUUUCUCUUUGUCUCGUCGAGAAGUAUAAUUUUCGUUUUUGAAUCACUUGAUUUCGUUGAGUAUUGAAGAAAUUACGAACGUUUAAAGUUUACCCAAUUUCCGGCGAGUUUUCAAGUUUUCGCUUGGACCAGUCAACUUUGAGGCUAUUUUCCGGCCAUCUCCGACAACCAUUGGGCUUCGAAAUAGGUAUAAUCUUAUUCUACACUUUCCUAUCUUCAUUUUGAUAUAUUAUGGGUCGAAUUUGGUUAAGAAACGAUUGAGUUCCGAAGCUUUGAAAAUUGCCCAAACUUCCGGUCAAGAGCUCCGGGACACUUAACGGAGUUUUUAAUGGAAAAUGAUGGAUGGUGGACAAUCUCAAGGACCACUUUUAUUGAUUUGGAAUCUCAGGAACCAAAGUAAUGAGUUAUGCAAAUCUCAAGGACCAUUUUGGCGAUUUAGCCUAAAUAAAAUAGAAGGGGAAAAAAGAACUAAUGUCACAUUGGAACACCACACCACCAAAGUUUCUCAUGCUUUACAAGAUUCUGUAAGAUCUUAUUUUCAAGUGUAGUCAAGGCUUCUUUAGGUAAAGUGACAGUCAGUACAUGCAACAGGAUUCAUACAUUACUACACAUCGUGAUUGAUCCAUAUCCUGGUCAACAACAUUGUGAUAUCACAGUUCCAACAUUUUUUCCCAGAACCCCACAAUGUUUCCAAUAAAACAGCUAGUAAGAAAAUCCGAAUCAGACUAAAAGAAGGUAUAGUUGAAAUGCUAAUUAAUGAUAAUAACACGUAAAUAUCUAUCUGACGUAAUGACUUUUAAUUUUACUCUAAGAGACUAACCAUGUGGAGAAUCUUAUUGAAAGAAACUUGUAAUGACUUUUAAUUUCAAUCUAAGAGACUAACCAUGUGGAGAAUCUUAUUGAAAGAAACUUGUAUCAUUAAUUUAUCAAAGCAAUAUUAUUUCUGAGGUUAAGACUAAGGGCCUAGGUAAGGGAACUUUUGUUGAGUACUAACAUAGUGAAUAUCACAAGCAAAACUAGUGCGAAAAAUAGUCACCAAUUCGAGAUAAAUUUUUUAAAUGAACCUACAAGAGUUACAGUGAAUGUGCUAUAAAAAGGUUAGAUUAGAAUUUGGUUUUUAAGAACUUCACAUAGGCUGUCUCGUACACUUGUGAUGUAGACUCAAGUUUUCAAACCCAAAGCGCACAAGUUUGCAUUAAUAGGCAAGGAAUUUAUAGUCCUACAUAUUGGAACUUGAAAUCAUGCACCAACUUUAUCUUCUUCUUCUCGACUGAAGCCCUUUACCUAGUGCAAGCCAGAGACAAAAUAAAGUAGUAGUACUGAACCAUUUGUGUUACUUAUAACCUUCUUCUUCUCCGUUGAAACCACUGCUCUAUACCUUUUAAGGAUAACAUUUUCCCAAUUAUUCCAUCAUUUCUCAAAGCUAACCAUGGUUAGGGACAUUAUGAGUCAGAGUAAUUAUCAAGGAAGUCAUUGAUACCCCAUCCUUCUUUCCCACUCGCGAUUACUACAUAUAUGAACCUUUUGUGGCUUUAAAAGGAAAUAUAGUAUUCAUCCAAAUAAUUUAAAUUUUUUCUGGAAAAUAAUGAUUACGUGAAUGCAAGUUGUUGCAAACAAUCUAAAACGUGGCUUUUUAUAACAACAGGAAAUAAACUAAUACUUGGUUUAGCACUGGGACUCAAAGAAACUCUAGUUCAGAACAAGAUUCCAAACAUAAAAUACUGAAGCAAAUGAUGCGGAAUACCUCCAUGAAACGGAUAUGAUACACGGGCCGCUUCUCAGGGUCUUUUGCCAAUGCAAGAAGCUUUUGAUGUAACAAGACAUCUUCCACUCUAUCCAAGUUAACAUCAAGUCCGUAACUGCGCAGAAAACAAAAUUAGUAAAAUAAAUAAAUAAUGUAGAAUUCAUAGAAUUAGGUUCAUCAUCCUCCACAUCUAAAGAAAAAUGAAACAUUCAUGCUAUGGCUCUUAUGAAGUUUUACAGUGGAAAAUAUCUUGGAAAAUAUAGUGAAUACUUUUCCCAGUAAGGUUUUAAACAAAGCUUCAACAUAACAUAAGGUCUGGAAAGGUUGGCCUUGAAAUAACAUUUCUUGACAGACCUAAGGAAAAUUUUGUGCCUCCUGGAAAGGUACUUCCAAAAAGAAUUGACUGCGAAGUGCGGAACUAAUUUCAGUCCAUACACACAUUGCAGAGUUUCAAUUGUAAACCUUUACACUAGUCACAUGGUCAAACCGACCAACUCUUACAGAAAUAAUAGGCAAGAAAACAACACUCAAACAGCACUGCCAGCUCAAAAAAUAAUCAGGUCCAUACAGAACAAAUAUUAGAUCACAUAACCAAUUUGAUAUUCAAACAUAUGCAUAAACUUAUUCGUGCUCAAACAUUAAAAACUUCACUGAUACUGCUCCGAAAGCAUAUUAACUCAAGAAAUCAAUCAUGUUGGGAUCAUCAUUUGAGACUCUAAGAGCUUCAUAAGGGUUCGUACUUCAAUAAUACGGUUCGUACCAUAAUACACCAAUCCCAAAACUACGGAGCACUGGUUAACCAAAUAUCUUCGAAGACCUACUGAAGGGUUCAUGUUGAGACACCCCUACCUAAGCACAUGAGUUUCUCUCCAACCAGGAGCCCAAUCACAAUGCUAAAGCUUCUAAAGUCCCACAUCAACCACAGACGAAAUAGGCAAUUCUCCUCAACUAUAAAAGGAGAUUGUUCUCCCACAAUUGAUCCCUGAUGAUCUUAUUUUGCUUAAUCCACUAUUAGAACUCACUAAGUAAUGAUUCUGUCUAAAUCCUUGUAUCAUGUAAACUCUCUCUACAUUAUUUAUGAGAACUCCUCCAUCCGACGUAGCCCAAUUUAAGGUGAACCAUGUAUGAUUGCUGCCCUUUUAUCCCUUAACUCUGUACAUACUCUCAUCACUAGGUGACCGAAGCAACUUAGCAAGGAUCGCAUAUUGACACUCUACGUUAUUCCAAAGUCAACCCAGUUUUGUGCAUCAACAAAUACAAUAAUGUUUUGUUCUGAAAAAACUAAUUCCAGAAAUAAAUCAAUGGCGGAAGUUCGUUAAAAUUAAAGAAUAAAAAGAAAUGAAAUGAAAAACAAUCUUAUAGAGGAAAGCGAUCGAAGGGGAAUACCUAGGCGGCAAGCGGUUGAAGUGACCGUCCAACUGUUCACGGAAUUCGGGCAGAGUCAGAGCGUCUUCAUGGCCGCUCUCCACCAAGCGGUUGUAGACAUCGUUUCGGACAUCGUAGUUACUGAAGCUGACGAAGCUUCUCGGCGGCGACGAGCUCUCUCCGACGCCCUCGGUCAAAUCCAUAGGGGAAGCUCAAGUCAGCAGGUUUUCCACGAAAAUACAGAAGAGAAGGAGGAGAAAGCGAGCUCGGAGAGUUGUCAAUGAUAAGCAGAGGAUCUUUGACUGUUGGUGGAAUCCGGGAAGAAGACGAGGAUCUGUUGGGGAUUUCGGGCGGAAAGCAGAGGGCAAUUUCGUCAUACAAAAUCACUGUAGCAUCGUGAAGUUUCUCGAGAGCGAAGGCUAGUUUGGAGGAGAGAAUGUCAUGGUUGGAGUGAGUGAGUAGAGAGACAAAAGAAGACCUCCGUCUCAGCAAGAGAAAACUUUUUCCAUUUUUUAAUUUUUUUUUUAUAUAUAUUAUAUAUCAAAUAAUGUGGAUUGGAUAUGGUUGAAAAUGUGGGACAAUAUAAUAAUGUUUUGUAGUUAAGAAAACGCCUCGGUUUUUGAUAGAUUUUUUUUCAAUGUGAUCGUAUAUACGAAACGGUAUGUUAUAUGUUGUUGUUAAAGUAAAAUAAAAUUUUAUUUUAAAUUUAUUCUCUUAACUUAUAUAAUAAUUUAUGAUAUAUGUAACCGCGUUUUGGAUAUAUUGAAAAACCACUCUUAAAUUUUGGGCACAAUUUCAUGUGAGUCACAUCAUGUUGUAUAGGAGAAAAUAUGGCCUGCUGUUUACAAGUAAUCACAUAAAAAAGCUCAUACCAUAAUUAUGACGCAAUUGUAUAUUUAUUCUUUCUCUAAUAAUGGAUUCUCAUUUUGUAGAGAGGGAAAUGUUAAGGAGACUCAUAGUUUUUUAGGAUUGUGUUAUUCACACAUCCUGUUUAUCUUUCACAUAUUCCUCUUAGUUUUUACAAUCGGACCGAAUUAAUUAAAAAAUAUUAAAAAACAGAAAUUAACAAAAAAUGUGUAGAAAGUAAAAAUAAGAUGUGGAUAACACCACCUUUUUCUUAUUGUGAGUAGCAUAUCUAAUCACUAGAAGCAUUAGAUAUAUCCUAUGGAAGUUGAAAGCAAGUGUUCUGUUUAUAAGUGCUUACAAAAUUAUUUUUUAUUUAUUUAAUACGAAAAAGAGAUUACAAAGUAGAAGUGCUUAAGAGAAUAACACACCAAAACGAUCAAAAAGCAUCUGGCACAUAUAAAGGUACCAUUAUUCCACAACUGAGAAACGUGGAACUUUAUGUCCUAGGGCGUCCGCUACAAAGUUGACCACGAAGAAAGGAAUGAGAGUCCGAAUGUCUUUGAGUAAAGUAACGAGCGUCCAUGGAAGUUGAAUAUAGUGUAGACAACAAUCAUGACAUCCCCUUCAACUUUGACAUCUCUCCACCUAUGAGUGAAGGAUAGAGACACACUUUGAUCCAGAUAUCCAGGUAGACACUAAAAUUGAGGCAUGUUGACUAACAUUUAGAAGAUCACGAAGUCAUAACAUGUAAAUAAUGUGUAGAUUGUAUAAAUAAAUUAAAGAUUAUAAAUGCAUGUAAUGAAAAGAAGAGUAUCUAAUUAUACACAGCCAAUAUUCAAAACAUAUAGGUAUGUACACGCAAUUUAAAAUUAAAAAAAAAAAAGAUUCUGGAUUGUACUUAAAAGUAACAUUCGCCUUAAAACAUUCAUAAAUUCAUGAAAAUAUGACUUGAGCUUCUCCUAUGGACAUGGAAGAUAUGUUUGGUGAUGCAUUAGAGUAUGAUCCGCAUACAUCUUUGCAUAUAAAUUGGCCAAGAUAGGAAGUCUUUGACGGAUUAUGCCGUUUACCGCAGUAGACUUCGAGUUUUAGAAGACCAUCACACUCUUUGUAAUGGUAUGGUCAAUCAGAUGGUCGAGUAAAGAGUCACUUAAUUAAUAUUGCUUGUUCUUAUGUUCCUUUAUUUUUAUUUUUAUUUUUGAAGUCGGGUAUGAUUUAAUUUACGUAAUUGUUUAAUUUUAUUUAUGUAAUUGUGUGUUUUUAUGUAAUAGUGUGCUUUUAUUUAUAUUCUCAGUAUAACAACAAGUAUAAGCACGAAGAUAAUUAUCAUUAAGAAUAUUGACAUUAAAUUACAUAAAAGCAUUGAGUAAAUAGCAAUCAUAAAAAUAUUAACAUUACAUGAGCAUAAAAGAAUUGAGUAAAUAUAAUCAUAAACGUCACUGUACGUGGCAACAUGCUGCUAGUUGAUGAUUCAGUGGUUAAGGACGGAUUACAAGGCUUUCUUCAAACUAAAAAUUGGAGGUAUCGGGUCCGAACCUUGCUACUGGUGUGGACGCUAGACUUGUGACCAGGAGGAGGCUAAAAUGUCUCUGUAAGUCUUCCCGGCCCUUGAAAGAGAUGGAUAACCGUAGCUUACCAAUUGUUAUCCGCUCUAUAACCAACGGGGAGCUCUCCGUAGCUCGUUUGACUUCAGCAGUGAAUGAAUCAAAUAUCCACGUCGAUCUGCUUGAGGUAGCUAGAUCACCCUAAUCUAUGGAAGUUUAUUAUUUCCAAAUCUAUCUACGAUUAACCCCCAAUAUUUUCAAACAUAAUAAUACUUAACGAAGUGGAAUAAAAAUAAAUAAAAUAAACUUUGAAUUUUGCUACAGAUACUCGAGGUGUACAUAUACAAUAUGUGGACAUAUAUAUACCUUGACGAGAAGCUUGAGGCAAAUAUCAUCAGACUGGGCUGCAGAGCCCUUGGUCGUUUUGUUCUUAUUUCUGGCAAAAAGAUCAACCUCCUAUACAUCAGUACAUACAAUAUUAUUAAGUAAUAUACAUGCAAUACAAAAACGAGAUAGAGAGGGCGCUUGGAGCGCAAUUGCUUGGUUGCUGCUAAUGCCGAUGAAGCAAAGGUUUUUAGAAGCUUUAUAGAAUAAUGGAUAUAAUGGAACUUGAUGACAUAUGUGAGAAUAUGAUGAACGUUAUAUUUUUGAAGCUCUUUUUAUUAUGCCGACAAAUAUAUUAAUUUAUAUUUCUGAAAUGGUUUAUAGUGUGAAUAUUGUAGAGUAAAAUUUUGGUGCAUCUGAAAAACCAUCACGUGUUAUUAUUUCAUUCAAAACUAUAACACAUGUAUUUUCUUUUUUUAUUUAAUAUUCCUAAAAGACUAACAUUUCAACUAUGUACCAAAGCUACGGAAGUUUGUAGUUUCGAAUAUAUUGGUAGCUAAAUCACCCAACUCUACAACUUCAUUGCUUCGACUUUCUUUUGGCUAACAAAACGCCAAGCCAAACGACUUUGGAUAAAUCUUUAUCCACCUGCUAACCAAUCAUUUAUGCCCAGCUCUACCAUAAGAAGGAGAGGUUGUUCCGAAAGAGAUUUGCAAAAGGUUUUGUUCCAAUAAGGAUACUACUGUUCAACUCUCCACGAAGUUACACACAAAAAAUAAUAAUAAUAAUAAUAAUAAUAUGCACUUGUGAGAAGUGCCAACACUGUGCCACGAUCCCACACAUUCAUGUUAAACCUCUUAGAAGAGCAUAGGACCAGGUUGACGUAAGGAACGUCGCUAAUCAAGACGUCUCAAAUUACUACGGUUCUAGAGUCAACGUCUGCUCUUUAAAACUAUGAGACUAGGUGUUGAAGAAGAAAAUAUCAAAUAAACAAGACUCAAUUGUGAGUACACUUGACAUGAAUUGGGACAGACCAUACGAGAUCAUUGACAUAUAUCGCCCAGGCACAUACAUACUUAAAGAUGGCAGAACACAUGAUCAUCCAUGUAAUGUUGAUCAUCUAAAGUAUUACUACAAGUAGACAGUUCAACAUACUUAGUGAAGAGUCAAUUCAGACAAACUUUGUCUCAACCUGACACCUUAAACAAUCGUACUUAGCCAAACUUUAAAACAAACCAACAUUAUAACUUAAAAGCUCAUCCAUACAUACCUCAAUGAAGUUUAAAACCACCUUCAAAAAGGAACAUGAUUCAUAAGAGCAUCAACAUAAACUUUAAACAUGAUAAAAAUUCCACGAAGACAAAUCCACAAGGUAUCCAAGUCAAUGAUCAAUCAUAUUUAAAGCCAACAUUAGUACAUAAUUUUUUUAUUUUUAAAGUCAACAAGAGAAUACAACCUAAGUUUAGGACGCAACAAUCAACAUUCUCAUAAUAAAACUAAGAGACCACAAAUUCAUUCUCAAAGCAAAGUCAAGAUGCAAUAAUCAUCUUACAAAACCAUUUUGUUUUUUUUUUUCAAUAUAUUGAAUGAUGAGGUGUAACAACCCGUCCCAAAUUUUACAAUUUUAUAAAUUUUAAAAGUGUGAAUUGAUGAAAAUGCCCUAGAGGCAAGGAUUUUGACUUCCGUUGACCAUCAAUUUGAGAGAUGUAUGACUUAUUCUUUUAGCGUAAUUGUGUAGUACUCGUUAGUACGAACGCAUAGGUGAAGACCGUUUGCGAGUCUGAAUUAUAAUGGUAUAGAUAGGGACAUUUGAAAUUGUGUUACUAAACUAUAGAUUUAAAUUUAAUUAAGCUUCCCUCAAAUGUAUGUUAAUUAUGGGACCAAUUAGAUAAAUAUUUGAGGGACCAAUCAGCAUGGGUAACGAAAAGGGGAUCAGCCAAUCAGAAAAAAAAAAAAAAAAAAAAAAAAAGAGGGAGGGGGGUGGACUCCCAACUUUCCCGUGCACCCUUGAACCAUCCCGAUUUCAAAUCGGCGAACUUUCGCCAGUUUUUUGUUGAUCACCACCAUCCAUCACCUGCAACAUCUUUCACAUCUUCCCCUCUACUAUUUCCACUCAAAUUUGGGAUUUUUUUUAAGGUCAAAACCUUGUAAAACUGUGAGGGGUGGCCGAAAGUGUUCCACGGCGAUUCUGCCGUUCCGGCGAGUUUCACCACUCAUCACCACCUCUAAUCUACUCCCCUUGGACCCAGGAACAAAGCCCAAACAACCUUGGAGGCGUCGGAGCACCGGUGACGACGAAUUAAAGCACACCCAUUCUAGGGUUCUGGUGGGUUCGUGGAAAAUUGAGGCUCUUCCAGGUCAAAUUGGCCUUGGUCAUAGGUAUGAAAGUUGCUCCACUCAUUGAGAUCUUCAUUUCUGUGAAGUUUGAGAAUUUUUAGAAAUAGUUGGAUUUUCCGACGAGUUGGGGUGGCCGACCACCACCCACUGCGGCGCGUGCGGCGGCACGUGGCCACUUUUAGGCUAAAUUAGAUGUCUUGAAUUCAGUUUUGAUAUUCGUAUAAUGUAGGUUGAUCGUUUGAAUCUAAAUUCAUUACGAUACGUUAUUUGGUAAAAAUGUGAAUCGACGAUCCAACCGUUGGAUCGUCACUAAACUUUAAUACAUUCUAGUACAUAAUAUUUAAGGACCAUAGAAACUUACGGAUUAGGAAUCUGAUGAACAAAUCUUCCUGAAUUGGAUUUGUAAGUUUAUAAAAUAAAUGUUAACCGUCAUUUAGUUUUGGCAAUUGACGGAAGUCCGACCGUUAGAUCGUAAUGAAAUUUUAGUAUGUUAUUCUAGAAGCAUAAUUUGGAUCUUUAGAAGUUUCGGAUUGGAAAUCUGAUAUGCGGAUCUUCCGAAGUGAGUUUACAGGGUUGUAGACCCAACCGUCGAUCUUUGAUCGACGGUUGACUUAUGGUCAAUGGGUCUCAAACUAUUUUAGAAUGUCCUUGAGAAUGUGUUUUAUGUGAAUUACAUAUUCUAUUGAUAAGAGUUAUGAGAUGUGAUUAUGUAAUUGUUCUAGGCGCCAAUUAUUCGAGACGCCUCAAUGCAAGUGCUAGAGAAUCAUAGUGUGGACUCUAGGUGAGUGGGUCUUUUCCUUUUAUCAUAGGUAUAUAAUUGAUAGUUCCUCAAAUGCUUCUAAAGUGAAUUAUGCAUGUUACCUACAAUUAAUUAUUGUGAACUACGAAUGGCUUAAUCCCUAUUUAGGGUACAUAGGCAGUCUAACGAUACGUUAGAUGCAGCCAUACAAUAAAUGAGACUAACUAACUGAGACAAUAGUCUUGUUUAGGGAAUUGAGUAAUGUGAGGGACAUUGGUGGAAAAUAUAAGAUUUAACUUUAUGAUUUGGUGUUUAAAUAUUGGUCAUAAAUCAAUGAAUGAAGAAUCAGGAAUUUGAAGUAAGGAAACGUAAGUAAUGAUGGUUAAUUAAACUAGUAUCUAGUAGGGCUUACCAUUGAUAAUUAUCUCCGAAAAUAAGUAGUUCGGGAGUAGGGCGUUAUAGAUUAUGCAUUUCACACCAUGUUAUAUAUAUACUUGAAAAUACUAUGUUAUAGUUGAGUUUUAAAUUGCAUCAUGACAUAUUUAUAUGUGUAUCACCUAAACCUAAUUAUUGUGAAUGCUUCGAAGUGCCAAAUGAUGUUGCGGACGCCCAGGUAAGCUUCAGGUGAGUACACGUUGAUGAUAGUGAUGGUAGUGAGAUAUGUGAUGAGAUAUUAAUUGGCUAGCAUGUUGAUGAGAUAUUGAUUUAGCCGUACAGUUCACGUGAGGUGACUCUGGCUAGUAUAUUGAUGAGAUAUGUGAUGAGAUAUGGAUGAUGAGAUAUUGAUUUAGCUGUACAGGUCACAUAAGGUGACUCCAGCUAGUAUAUUGAUGAGACAUGUGAUGAGAUAUGGAUGAUGAGAUAUUAAUUGGCUAGCAUGUUGAUGAGAUAUUGAUUCAGUCGUACAGGUCACGCUAGGUGACUCCGGCUAGUAUAUUGAUGAGAUAUAUUAAGAGAUAUAAAUAAAGUUGUACAUGUCACUAUAAGUGACUCUGACUUAUAUGCUAGCAAUGAUUAAUAAGAUAUAUGAGGAGAUAUAAAUAAAGCUGUAUAGGUCACUAUAAGUGACUUCGGCUUAUAUGCUAGGAACGAUUAAUGAGAUAUGUGAGGAGAUACGGAUAAGUUGUACAGGUCACUAGAGGUGACUCCGACUUAUAAGCUAGCAUAUGUGACGAAUAUGUGAUAAGCUAGCAUAUGUGAUAAAUAUGCGAUGAGCUAGCAUAUGUGAUGAAUAUGUGAUAAGCUAGCAUAUAUGACGAAUAUGUGAUAAGCUAGCAUAUGUGAUAAAUAUGUGAUAAGCUAGCAUAUAUGAUGAAUAUGUGAUAAGCUAGCAUAUGUGAUGAAUAUGCGAUGAGCUAGCAUAUGUGAUAAGCUAGCAUAUGUGAUGAAUAUGUAAUAAGCUAGCAUAUGUGAUGAAUAUAUGAUAAGCUAGCAUAUGUGAUGAAUAUGUGAUAAGCUAGCAUAGGUGAUGAAUAUGUAAUAAGCUAGCAUAUGUGAUGAAUAUGCGAUAAGCUAGCAUAUGUGAUGAAUAUGCGAUGAGCUAGCAUAUGUGAUGAAUAUGCGAUGAACUAGUAUAUGUGAUGAGAUACAGGUAAGUCGUACAGGUCACCAUAGGUGACUUCAACUUGGGUACUAGCAUGAGUUAUUAAUCACAUGAUUAUUUGAUAUUGCUAACGAGAUGCUGUCUUGUGGUAUAUUUAUGAUAUUUUCUGAAAAUUAUACAGGUGUUGUAGCGAGGGGUUAUAAUGUUUUAAAUGGUUUCUAUUAAAAUUUAUUCACAGGGCUACUCACCUUUGUCUUGUCUUCACCCUCCAGGUUUUAUUAGCUGAGUUUUCUUAUCGUUGAAGAUUCGUGGCGGUUCUUGGUAUUGAAGAUUAUUUCGAGGGUACAAUUCUUAAUUCACUCUUAUGUACUUGCUUAUGCUCUAACAUUACGUGUGAAGUAGAUUCAUUCCCGCUCACCGGUGUACUCUGGUAUUUAGGCACUCUUAGGUUUUAAAUUAUUCACAUUUUUCCACAUCAUCACACUUUAUGGAUUCGUCACCUUCCAGGUGUCGGCCAGCACAGUUCGAUUCGGAGUCCUAGUAAACAUUCCGGGUCGGGGUAUGUUAUGAGGAGUGGCUAGGUUAAAGUUGUGGGGCAAUAUGUUAUGAAAGAAGCAGAAGCGAGAAUGUCAACUUGAGUAACAUAAACAUUGGUGAUGGGUUCUCCAUUAAUUUUCAUUUCUUCUAUGCAACGCGGGAUAGGUCAACAUGGUAGCUUGAUAUAGAAGAAUAUAUUUUGUGUUUUAGAAACAAAUUUUUUGUGAGUCACGUCGUAUUUUAUACAAAAAAAUGUGGGCCAUGAACUGCUAUUUACACAUAAUCACAAAAAUAAAUAAAUAAAUUCAUGCCAUGAUUAUGAUGUAGCUCCACAACUAUAAGCUUAUCUGGGAUGCAUUCUGAUAAGCUGACGAACUAGUGUACACAAUUGUAUUUUCAUUUGUUCGAAUAACUGGAGUUGAAUUUUGUUUAGUAUUAUCAUGUUUAUUUUUAUUUUUAUUUUUUACCUUAAGUAGCAUAUCCGGUUACUAGAAGCAUUACACAUAUCUUAUCUAUUUUCAUGUAAUGAGAGUGUGAGGCAAGUGUUUUGUUUAAGAAAAUGUUGAUAAGACAACUUUAUUUGGUACGGGAAAGAGAUUACAAACGAAAACACCUAGGGCGUAAUAAAGGGUAGAACUUGCAUAGGAAAAUUCUAUUCGAACCAAAAAGUUAUCAAAUAUUCUAUCCAAUUUAAAUAUGAAUCCAUGAAGUUUCGAAAUCCGAAAAAUUAAAAAAUACUGGAUAAGAACAGGAAUACAAUUUGCAAUUUGUAUAACAAUCUGUCCUUAAUUUUAAGAUUUUAUUAAUUUUAAAUGUGUGAAUUAAUCAAAAUGUUCUUAAAGGUUAGAUUGUUGACUUUCGUUGAUCGUUAUCUUAUAAUACAUACAAGCUACUAUUUUACUGUAUUUGCAUAUUACUCAUUACUACGAAUGUACAUGAUAAAGAUUUUACGAAAUUACGAAAUCAGGAGGUAUUUUAGCAGAUUCACUAUUCUGGAUAAUUUUUUCCUUAUUAUUUUAUAUUUUUCUGGUGGAAUUUUGUGUCUUGUGGAACCCAUACCCCACUUCUUCCUUGUCCCCGUGUCCCAUUUUCGCCAUACUUCUUGGUCUCUCUCAUUUCAAUCUCUCUCUUUGCCUUGUCACUCCAUCUCUUCUUCUGCCACCUUACCACCACCUACUCUCUCUCUCUAAAAAUCUCUCAUCUCUCACUCUCCAUUUAUUUGUCUCUCGGCAAACACCGAAUGGGUGCAAUGGCAACGCCAUCAUCGCCGCUAACCUUGUUACCCUGACGAGAUUUACGAGUUUUCCAGCCCAGAAACUAGGAUCUCAUACUGCCAACUCAACCCAGACAUGAACUUGC